rfam:Gossypium hirsutum cultivar TM-1 unplaced genomic scaffold scaffold3902.1, whole genome shotgun sequence
AUGUCAUGAUAAGAGCACUUGCAUAAUAACUCCUUGAACCGAUCCCAUGCCUAAUAUAAAUAUUAUUCAUCAAGUUGCUGAAAUGAAGUGAUUUCAUUUCGAAUCU